UACGUAGGGGUCGAGCGUUGUCCGGAGUUACUGGGCGUAAAGCGUGCGCAGGCGGCUCAUCGCGCUCGGCGUGAAAGCCCCCGGCUCAACCGGGGAGGUCAUCGAGAGCGGGUGAGCUUGAGGGUAUCAGGGGUUGGUGGAAUUCCCGGUGUAGUGGUGAAAUGCGUAGAGAUCGGGAGGAACACCCGUGGCGAAGGCAGGUCUCUGGGCCGAUACUGACGCUGAGGAGCGAAAGCGUGGGGAGCGAACAGG
rnacentral:rRNA from 1 species